CACGGCCACCGUGGGACACGGCGGUGACAGCAGCCGAUGGCGUUGCUGUCACCCUGUUGGUGGCAGGGGACAGUGGCAGUGUCCUGGUGCCAUCACCAUGGCAGCGUUGGUGACAAAGGAGACAGUGACAACAGCUGGUGGCAUCGAUGGCGUUGCUGUGACAGCGUUGGUGACAGGGGAGGGCAGCUGAUGUCACACAGUGUGACAGCGUUGGUGACAGUGACAGCAGCCGGUGUCACUCACUGUGGCUGUGUUGGUGACAAAGGGGACAGUGGCAGCAGCCGGUGUCACACCCUGUGGCUGUGUUGGAGACAGUGACAGCAGCUGAUGUCGCACAGUGUGACCGUGUUGGUGACAGUGACAGCAGCCGGUGUCACUCACUGUGGCAGGGACAGGGACAGUGACAGCAGCUGGUGUCACACAGUGUGACCGUGUUGGUGACAAUGACAGCAGCCGGUGUCACUCGCUGUGUCCCUGUUGGUGACAGUGU